rnacentral:rRNA from 1 species
UUUUNUGAUGUCCUGGNUCAGAACGAACGCUGGCGGCAUGCCUUAACACAUGCAAGUCGAACGAGACCUUCGGGUUAGUGGCGCACGGGUGCGUAAGCGCGUGGGAACCUGCCUUAGGUUCGGAAUAACAGUUAGAAAUGACUGCUAAUACCGGAUAAUGUCUUCGGACCAAAGAUUUAUCGCCUUUGGAUGGGCCCGCGUUGGAUUAGAUAGUUGGUGGGGUAAUGGCCUACCAAGUCGACGAUCCAUAGCUGGUCUGAGAGGAUGAUCAGCCACACUGGGACUGAGACACGGCCCAGACUCCUACGGGAGGCAGCAGUGGGGAAUAUUGGACAAUGGGCGAAAGCCUGAUCCAGCAAUGCCGCGUGAGUGAUGAAGGCCUUAGGGUUGUAAAGCUCUUUUACCAGGGAUGAUAAUGACAGUACCUGGAGAAUAAGCUCCGGCUAAC